CAAUAAUACACUUUACUAAUGGUCUGUAAUGAAAUUACACCUUAAGUCUUCAAUUCAGCCAUAAUGAAUUAUCUCCUGAUUGCCAGAUGUAAUUCAAACAGCGUCUUUGUUUUCUGGACUGUUUAGAAGAACAUACUAAACACGGGUACCAAAGGUGACUGCUUUCUUUAGUAACUCAGUUAGUUCAUUUGACAUGUUCUGCUGCAUGUGAUGAGCAAUAAAACUUCUUGUGAGUUAUAAAGUUCGAAAGAUUAUUGAACUGAAUAUCGCAUAGCCGGCAGUAUUUUCCACUGCUGGGAGCCUGGCUGGCGCCAUUCACACCUUUUGCUAUGCUAGACAACUGUUCUUCUGCGCAGGGAAUUCCUGGGGAGACAUUCUCAUUUGCAGCUAAUGGGUUCUCAGAGAUCCACGAAGGGGAUUUGUGGCCAUCUUCGUGCUGGGUAUUCUGGGAAAUGUUCUCUUGCUGUGGGUUGGCCGUAGGUCUUUCAUCUUGCUUGAGUCCACCAUUCACUAUGACCAUGCCUCUGUUUUUGGGCAACAAUGGCAGAGAAUCUUUCUUGGGUACGGCACACCCAUUUGAGGAGGCCUGGCCUUUAGGAGAUUCAUUUUCUGUAUUUGUGCUUUGUUCGACGUCAGUGUUGUGGAUGACAAGAGAACUGGCGAUAUAAUCGCUUGGCUUUAUCCCAUAGUAUGGAGAAAGUUGGUCAGCUCCUUUUGUCUUCUUUAUUGCUCCAGGGUAAAGGCAUUGGGGAAGAAACAAAUGUUUGUUUUCUUCUUUUGUAGCAAUGAGCUGAGCUGCUUCGCUGAAGACUUUCAGGCCUUGCAAGGUUGCCAAGUGGGAUGAAAACAAAUUUCCGUUGGGAGAUGGUUGCUUUGGAUUCCCAUUCUUCUCACAUUUGAUCAUGUUUCUUUCAAAGCUGACUUCAGGGCUGCUCCGUUCACUUUCUGGAUUCGGAAACACUUUACCAUCAAGCUGACCCAGGUCAUUACGCUGAUGUGCAGUGACAGGGCAGAAAUUCUGCUUGUGCGCCAGAUAGUUCUCGACCUUAUUGAAGCUGAUCUUGCACACUGUGCACUCGUGGUAGUCUAGUAGCCUCUUAGGAGAUGCUGUCGUCCGCUCAGACUGCGAUAAACACUUUUUGCUGAGAUCUAUAGGGACAUCCAUCUCCAAGCAGGAAACAUUGGAAUGGGUCGUGUCACACUUGGGAACCGGAACACAUUUGUUCAUGGCCAAUGAUGUUUCCAAGUGCUUAGAGACAAUUCCUGGGAAGAUGUCGCAUCUUGGGUGGUAGCAUUCUCCUAGCCCUUCGGUGGGCUCUUGAGUGGAGCUACAAGGAUUGCUUAGGUUGGCUACAUCAAGAAAUCUCUGCUGGACCAGGGGCGGCCGCUGUUCCUGCUCAGAGAGCUGGAUAAAAGCAGAUCUUCCUAGAACAAAGACCCUGGGGCCCCUUGAACCAUUGACUUUCCACCACAUAAUGUGCCUCUUUAUGUGUUCAAGAAAUCCAAACUAGAGUAUUCAUCUUCACAGUGUAAAGCAGCCCAGAGACG
rnacentral:lncRNA from 1 species